UACGUAGGUGGCAAGCGUUGUCCGGAAUUAUUGGGCGUAAAGCGCGCGCAGGCGGUCUUUUAAGUCUGAUGUGAAAGCCCACGGCUCAACCGUGGAGGGUCAUUGGAAACUGGGAGACUUGAGUGCAGAAGAGAAGAGUGGAAUUCCACGUGUAGCGGUGAAAUGCGUAGAGAUGUGGAGGAACACCAGUGGCGAAGGUGACUCUUUGGUCUGUAACUGACGCUGAGGCGCGAAAGCGUGGGGAGCAAACAGG
rnacentral:rRNA from 1 species